AUUUUUGUAGCGUAAAAGCUAAAUAAAUUCAUACAUAUUGUAAUACAGAUAACCAAAGCAUAAGAUUUAAUUUACAAUGACACAUGAGCCCACGAACGACCAAAAGUAUCAAAAGCGGUAAACCUACAGUUUUUGAUGAUGCAAGUCUAACUGUAACCCUUAUCAAUGUGAGCUAUCUACCAACUAUCCUGAGCCUAAAAUGGGUGGAAAUGAGGGUGGUGAGAUUAUAUAAUCCUAGUGAGUAAACAAAUACCAUCUAAAAUAUCUAACACUGAGUAAAUGGAGACAAAUAAAAUAGUUUAACAUACUGUAAUUCAUCACAUUUCAAGCAAAUAAAAUCAAUUCAUAUAAAUCGAGUAAUCAACAUGGCUUAUGAAUUUUUUAAAACUUUGGUUCGUGCCAAAAUCAUUCUCAUACUCAGUUAUCAGGGAUACCUUGACUGAGGGUUAUCCCAACCGAGUCCGCCAAGGCUGUUAAAAAGUUAUGUACGCAUAAAUCAUGUUUUUAUUUUAAAACAUAGCCGUUCCUUGGCAUUGGCUGAGUUCACCCUCACGUGGUGGUUUGGCGUGAAGUGAACUCUAAAGUGUUAACCUUAGGAGUUAUCCAUCCGCGCCUCUCAUACUGAGGUAUGAAUAUAAUAAAGUUACCGUGCCCCCUCUAAUAGGCUGGUCCACGGAACCUGUCCACUGCAAUGACUAAUCAAUAACCCACCAAUUCAAUAAAAUUUAACAGCAUGACAUGGCAAUUUUAUCAUUAUCCAGCCUAUCAAGGCAAACAACAGUUUAUAAAUUUUCAACACAAAUACCAAUUCAACCAUUCAUGCCAAUAUUAUCAUAAGCCAUUCAAUUCAAACCAUGAUUUAUAACACAGCAAUUAGUCUCCAAUUACUCCAUUUUCAAAACCAUCUUUCAAUUUCAAGAUAAUUUUAUAAAAUCAUUUCAUUUAAACACAUUUUGUUUAUAAAACAUAAAGAUUUACCAUUUAAACUUAUUUUCCAUAAAAUCACAAAAUUAGAUAAAAACCACUUUAGACAAUUAAGACGAUAGUAAGGUUACUCACUAUUUUGGGAGUCAAAUUCCGAGUACUCCGAUUCUUGAUCCUCAAGUACUAUCUCUUUACUUUUGCCAGAAUGCUCACCACCUGGACAUAAUGCAUAAUAAGCCAUUUACUACAUUUGUGCUAAAUUGUUAUAAAACCAAUUCAAGCUCUAUACUAAUGCAUGAAAUGGGAUGUAAAUUGUUCGAAUUAUCAUCUAAACACGAUGAUCUACACAAAUUCAAUUGUGUACCUAAAUAAAACGGUAUUGGCCUAAUUCGAUCUAUCACCCGAUUAAUUGGCCAAUACGUCCAAUUCAACUCCAAAUAAUUCCAUUUUUCUUCCAAUUCUCCAAACCAUCAAACACAAGUUAAAUAACUUGAAAUAUGGCAAAAUCAUCCUCAGAUUUUCUCUUGGAAAAUUUGGCCAUGGUGGGUGCAUCAACACUAUAAUUUUUCAAGCUUGAUUCUCACACCAUAAAUUACUAAUUCCUAACCAGAUCACUUGAAAUAAAAUCAAAAUCAUCAUCAAUACUCUACAAGGAAGAUUCGGCCAAUGGAGGUUCUUGAGGGGUAUACGGUUUUUCAUGCUCAACAUUACCAUUUUCGGUUUCUACCAACACAAUUCAUUAAAUUUUAACUAAAUAACAUAAGACAUCACAAGAUUCAUCUUCAAUAUUGCCUUUAUGAAAUUCGGCCAAUGAAGAAUCCAUGAAGAACAUGUAAUUUUUCUUACUUGUUUUCCUUCCAAACAUGAUAAAUCAACUAUAAACACUAAAAUAUCUCAAAAUCUAACCAAAUAAAUCAUCAAAUCUUCUCUCUCUAAAUUCGUUCAGCCAUGAAUCCUUCAUGAUAUCUUGUGAUUCAAUCAUGGAAAAUGCAAAAGAAUGCAUGGGAAAGGUAGAUCACAAGUCAAAAUAAAGAAAUUUUACCUUUGAUUGCUUGAUUACUUGAAAUCCACCAAUUUUCUCUUGAAUUUUCACCCUAGGGUUCUUGUUCUUUCUUUUCUUCCUUUGUUCUUGCUUUGGCCAGCCAUAUGAAG
rnacentral:lncRNA from 1 species